rnacentral:rRNA from 1 species
UUAAACCCAAAGAAUUUGGCGGUAUCUUAUUCCGUUCAGAGGAACCUACCCCGUAAUUGAUAAUACACGAUUAACUUUACUUAAUUUAUUUGNUUGUAUAUCUCCGUUAUCAGAAAAUCUUUUUAGAGUUUAAAUUUUCUUGAUUUAUGACUAUAAAAUAUUUCAGGUCAAGGUGCAGUUUAUAAUUAAGAGGAGGUGGGUUACAAUAAAUUUUUGUUUAUUACGGUUNUUUUAAUGAAAUAUUAUAAAUUAAGGUGGAUUUGAUAGUAAAUUAAUUUAUUUAAUUUAAUUGAUAUUGGCUCUAAGGUGUGUACACAUC